CCUGACACAGAAGAGCACAGGCUAAUCAAUGACAACACUUUCCACGAAUGCAUUUCAAUUUAAAGAGACUCCUUUAAAUGAAUAAUUGCAAUAAAGUGGAAAUUGUAGUGUUUGAUUAGCCUGUGCAGACUGCACAUGCUAAUCUAGGAUGACACUUUAAGACAUCUCACAGACUGCACAUGCUAAUCUAGAAUUACACUUUAAGACAUCUCACAGACUGCACAUGCUAAUCUAGGAUUACACUUUAAGACAUCUCACAGACUGCACAGGCUAAUCUAGGAUUACACUUUAAGACAUCUCACAGACUGCACAUGCUAAUCUAGGAUUACACUUUAAGACAUCUCACAGACUGCACAUGCUAAUCUAGGAUUACACUUUAAGACAUCUCACAGACUGCACAGGCUAAUCUAGGAUGACACUUUAAGACAUCUCACAGACUGCACAGGUUAAUCUAGGAUGACACUUUAAGACAUCUCACAGACUGCACAGGUUAAUCUAGGAUGACACUUUAAGACAUCUCACAGACUGCACAUGCUAAUCUAGGAUUACACUUUAAGACAUCUCACAGACUGCACAGGUUAAUCUAGGAUUACACUUUAAGACAUCUCACAGACUGCACAGGUUAAUCUAGGAUUACACUUUAAGACAUCUCACAGACUGCACAGGUUAAUCUAGGAUUACACUUUAAGACAUCUCACAGACUGCACAGGUUAAUCUAGGAUUACACUUUAAGACAUCUCACAGACUGCACAGGUUAAUCUAGGAUUACACUUUAAGACAUCUCACAGACUGCACAGGUUAAUCUAGGAUUACACUUUAAGACAUCUCACAGACUGCACAGGUUAAUCUAGGAUUACACUUUAAGACAUCUCACAGACUGCACAGGUUAAUCUAGGAUUACACUUUAAGACAUCUCACAGACUGCACAGGUUAAUCUAGGAUUACACUUUAAGACAUCUCACAGACUGCACAGGUUAAUCUAGGAUUACACUUUAAGACAUCUCACAGACUGCACAGGUUAAUCUAGGAUUACACUUUAAGACAUCUCACAGACUGCACAGGUUAAUCUAGGAUUACACUUUAAGACAUCUCACAGACUGCACAGGUUAAUCUAGGAUUACACUUUAAGACAUCUCACAGACUGCACAGGUUAAUCUAGGAUUACACUUUAAGACAUCUCACAGACUGCACAGGUUAAUCUAGGAUUACACUUUAAGACAUCUCACAGACUGCACAGGUUAAUCUAGGAUUACACUUUAAGACAUCUCACAGACUGCACAGGUUAAUCUAGGAUUACACUUUAAGACAUCUCACAGACUGCACAGGUUAAUCUAGGAUUACACUUUAAGACAUCUCACAGACUGCACAGGUUAAUCUAGGAUUACACUUUAAGACAUCUCACAGACUGCACAGGUUAAUCUAGGAUGACAUGGCUAAUCUAGGAUGACAUGGCUAAUCUGGAAUGAGUCUUUAUGCACAUGUAUCAAGUCCUGUUUUCCUGGAGCAUGGCUUUUUAUAUUAUCAUCACA